rnacentral:rRNA from 1 species
UACGUAGGGUGCGAGCGUUGUCCGGAAUUAUUGGGCGUAAAGGGCUCGUAGGCGGUUUGUCGCGUCGGGAGUGAAAACCUUGGGCUUAACUCAGGGCUUGCUUUCGAUACGGGCAGACUAGAGGUAUGCAGGGGAGAACGGAAUUCCUGGUGUAGCGGUGAAAUGCGCAGAUAUCAGGAGGAACACCGGUGGCGAAGGCGGUUCUCUGGGCAUGAUCUGACGCUGAGGGACGAAAGCUAGGGGAGCGAAUGGG